CGUACCACAGCCGCGGCACAGAGUUACUUAGUGUCUUAGACUCUUAGUUACUUCCAGGUUACUUCGAUUACUUACCUACAUACUUCUAUAGAAAGUAUAGAAUACUGUGUCAUACUGUCAUGUACUGCGACGAUUAAAUAAUAAAGAUAUAUAGCCUAUACGCUGUGGUUUGAAGUUGAAAGUUGAAACCGUUCAAAAAGUACAACAAUCUAGAAUAUGCCAAUCAAUGAUGUUAGACGAGGUGGCCGUCAAUUAUUCUGAGUAUCUACCUACUUAAAGACCAACAAUAAAAAAGAGGUUGGCGUACUGGAAGAUGUAGUUGAAUAUGGUCACCAGACUGGAAGAGUUUCAGACAUUUAUGAAAGUGGUAUGUGCAUUACAAAUAGAAGUACUGUGAUGCAUUAGGAUAUGAUUACAGAAAUAAAGUCCAAAGUUACUGAACUCGCAGGCACUGUAAAUAAAUUAGAAAAGCUGUCGAAGAAAUUCAAUUGCUUGACCUGAUAACUAACUGAAACUGAGGCUUAUAUGGCCAUUAAUAAGGACGGUCUACUGAAUUCAAUUCUGAAACAUUUUUUGUUAGUUGAUUGCUAUGUAAUUAAUGUAUUUUGAAAACAUAAUAUUGUAUGAUUAUUUAUAUGUAACAAUUUUGAUUAGAAAAGACAAGAAGACCAUUCUUCUAAACAAAUACAUUCCUAUGAACCACCAAGGAUUUUUAAAUUGUAUACUCGGAUGACAGAUGAUGCGCCGAAAAUGAUUCAACUAAUAACAAAACAUACUUUUUUGUUUUAAAAUUAUAUAUAAGAUUAAGAUAGUAAUACAGUAUACUUCAUAUAUAUAUUUAAAAAUAAUAAAUGAUUGAAUAUUUUUUUUUUUUUA